AGAAAUAUGUCUGAUAAAAGAGUUACUUUGAUAGAGUAAAGAAUAGAGGUGCAAACCCUCUUAUUUCUA
rnacentral:tRNA from 1 species